CUAGACGGGGGGUGCGUGUGUAUAUAUUAUAUAUAUGAUCUAAGUAUAUAUUUUUAUUUUUUUACACUUAAUUUGAUUUGAUUUUCAGCCAGCAAGGGGACCACCUGUCAUUACAUGCAGCCCCCCCUGCUGGCAAUGCAGGAGGCAGCCUACCCGGCCAUGUAAUUGUGAGGUCCUCGCAAGGACCUCACUCUCGCAUGGCCGGGGGGGCUGCCAGGAGGAAGAUCUGCUGUGGGGGGGCUCCCUGGGAGUCCACCCCACCGCAAUCGCCGGCGUCGGACCGCCGGCGACCGGCUAAGUAAGAAAAGACCGGAGGGCAUACAAUUACGCCAGGCGGCGUUUAGAGCCGCCUAAAAUAGGGCGUAAUUGUACGCCCUCCGGUCUUAAGGGGUUAAACACUUAACCCCUUAAGGGCACAUGACGUGUGACAUGUCAUGAUUCCCUUUUAUUCCAGAAGUUUGGUCCUUAAGGGGUUAAAGGGCUUCUAUAAUCUUGGAAAACUAUACCCAUGUAGAUCAGUUUGUAUGCUGCUAAUUUUACUGAAAUUAAAAAUCUUCGCUAUUAACUUUUGAUUGCUUUGGAUUCCAUUCUUCGCUACGCAUAUGGGAGCAGGCAAAAUAUUUCCUGGCUCCAACAUUCACUAUAACUAAUGUAUCUAGUUUAUUUAGAACCUGAAACUGCCAAAAACAGUCAUAGAACCAAAUAACUACUACCAGUUAAGUUCUAAUAACUACACUGAACAUUGCACACAGCUGUGUGACAUCCCACAAUUCCAUUCAAGUAAACUAGGAUGCUACAGCUGCAUUUUUGGCACAGGCACAUGUAUGUGUAGCCACUCACAUUAUUAUUAUUAUUUAUAUAGCGCCAUCAAAUUCCGUAGCGCUGUACAAUGGGUAUAUCCACUGUGGUAACCUAAUUGGAGGUGGAGGCCAUUUUUUUCCAACAAUAUCUUAACCUACACACUGGCUGGAGAUUCCACUAUCAUAAUGUAAAGAUUAGAAGGUAUAAACAGCUCAAUUUAAAAUGGUCAGUUUCAAGCCCUCGGACUUCCUGUAUAAUGGAUACUGCUUCCAACAUCACAUUCUAAAAUAUCAGGCAACGCCUGCAUAGCACAAUUAGAGUGGGUUCAUUAAAAGGAGUUUAUACUGGGUUAUUCAAUAAAGUCUGAAUAGUCAGGAAUGCAAAGUGAAUUUGAUAGGUUAGGCCACAAUAACCAAAACGGAAUAAUACUAUGGGGCCUAAAAUUCAAAACGCACUUUUAUUUCCUGACAGUUUAUACUCGAGUGAAUAAACCUGUAGUGGAGAUGUAAGUGGUCAAACACGUGUAAUAGGG